UGAAGAGGGCGGCUAUAAAUC
rnacentral:piRNA from 1 species